rnacentral:rRNA from 1 species
UUCUAACAGAUUUCAAUAUUAGUAUAACCUGCUCAAUGAUUUAAAUAGCCGCAAUUUACUGUGCUAAGGUAGCAUAAUCAUUUGUCUUUUAAUUAAAGACUAGAACGAAUGGUUUAACAUUUAAAUUUCUAUAAUUAAUAAAUAUAUUUAAUUUAUUUUAAGUAUAAAAAAAUACUUAUUAACUAGAUAGACAACAAGACCCUAUUAAACUUCACUUUAGUUUAACUGGGGCAGUUAAUUAAUUAUAAUUUUAAUUUUUUCAUUAUCUAAAAGAUCUGAUAAAAUCAACUAAUUGAACAAGUUACUAUAGGGAUAACAGCAUAAUUAUAUAUUAAAGAUCUUAUUUAAUAUAAAGAUUAUGACCUCGAUGUUGAAUAAUUUCCUUUUUUACGCAAUAGUAUAAAUAGGAAGUCUGUUCGACUUUUAAAAAAUUACA